AUUGAACGCUGGCGGCAGGCCUAACACAUGCAAGUCGAACGGUAACAGGAAGAAGCUUGCUUCUUUGCUGACGAGUGGCGGACGGGUGAGUAAUGUCUGGGAAACUGCCUGAUGGAGGGGGAUAACUACUGGAAACGGUAGCUAAUACCGCAUAACGUCGCAAGCCCAAAGAGGGGGACCUUCGGGCCUCUUGCCAUCGGAUGUGCCCAGAUGGGAUUAGAUAGUAGGUGGGGUAACGGCUCACCUAGGCGACGAUCCCUAGCUCGUCUGAGAGGAGGACCAGCCACACUGGAACUGAGACACGGUCCAGAGUCCUACGGGAGGCAGCAGUGGGGAAUAUUGCACAAUGGGCGCAAGCCUGAUGCAGCCAGGCCGCGUGUAUGAAGAAGGCCUUCGGGUUGUAAAGUACUUUCAGCGGGGAGGAAGGGAGUAAAGUUAAUACCUUGGCUGAUUGACGUUACCCGCAGAAGAAGCACCGGCUAACUCCGUG
rnacentral:rRNA from 1 species